CUGACACUCUUCCGCUGCGCAGUGUUUCUCAGGUGGGCUCAUUUGAAGAUGCUGUUCCGCAGCAUGGCCUGGGAUGGCUCCUCACAGCUCUUAAAGUCUGUCUGGAACUGCUUGAUGCAGAACAACGAGAGCUACAUCCCCAAAUUCCUGUUCCAGGCCUUACAGUAUCUGGAAAGCUCACAGACAACAAUAAGACAUUCAGGAUCCCUAUUCACUGGAAAUACUAUCCGCCAUUACUGCGAUUUGUUGUCUGAA